rnacentral:rRNA from 2 species
AGUAGGGAAUAUUCCACAAUGAGCGAAAGCUUGAUGGAGCGACACAGCGUGCACGAUGAAGGUCUUCGGAUUGUAAAGUGCUGUUAUAGGGAAAGAACACUUGGUUGAGGAAAUGCUUCCAAGCUGACGGUACCCUGUCAGAAAGCGAUGGCUAACUAUGUGCCAGCAGCCGCGGUAAUACAUAGGUCGCAAGCGUUAUCCGGAAUUAUUGGGCGUAAAGCGUUCGUAGGCUGUUUAUUAAGUCUGGAGUCAAAUACCAGGGCUCAACCCUGGCUCGCUUUGGAUACUGGUAAACUAGAGUUAGAUAGAGGUAAGCGGAAUUCCAUGUGAAGCGGUGAAAUGCGUAGAUAUAUGGAAGAACACCAAAGGCGAAGGCAGCUUACUGGGUCUAUACUGACGCUGAGGGACGAAAGCGUGGGGAGCAAACAGGAUUAGAUACCCUGGUAGUCCACGCCGUAAACGAUGAUCAUUAGUCGGUGGAGAAUUCACUGACGCAGCUAACGNAUUAAAUGAUCCGCCUGAGUAGUAUGCUCGCAAGAGUGAAA